CAGCAGUAGCCGCGGGAAUACGUAGGGUGCGAGCGUUAAUCGGAAUUACUGGGCGUAAAGCGCACGUAGGCGGAUCGAUCAGUCAGGGGUGAAAUCCCAGAGCUCAACUCUGGAACUGCCUUUGAUACUGUCGAUCUGGAGUAUGGAAGAGGUGAGUGGAAUUCCGAGUGUAGAGGUGAAAUUCGUAGAUAUUCGGAGGAACACCAGUGGCGAAGGCGGCUCACUGGUCCAUUACCGACGCUGAGGCGCGAAAGCGUGGGGAGCAAACAGGAUUAGAUACCCCCGUAGUCCCUGUCUCUUAUAC
rnacentral:rRNA from 1 species